rnacentral:tRNA from 2 species
GGCCGGUUAGCUUAGCUGGUUAGAGCGUGGUGCUAAUAACGCCAAGGUUGCGGGUUCGAUCCCCGUACUGGCCA